ACCUUUAUUUGUGUUCUAUAGUGCUAGUGCUAGUGCUAGUGCUAGUGCUUCCCUUGUAAUUAUCUGAUUGCCUUUUAGCAUGUUUGCCAUAAUGAAAUUUCCUUUAUCUUGUUAUCAUUUUUAAUUGGACCAUUUGCUUUUUUUGAAUUUCAUUUGGUUUAUGAAGAAUCUAUUUUCUGCUUCUGAGAAUAUGCCAAAGAAGGAGUAAUGUCA
rnacentral:lncRNA from 1 species